rnacentral:lncRNA from 1 species
CCAUCUGUAUCAGUUUUAGAGUUUGGUAUCUAUAUGUCUUCCUUACUUUGGUCUUUACGUCAUCUAUCAGUCUCAGCUUCUAUUACUCUCUUUAUUGAUACAUUCAUUUUGGACGGAAUAUAUAACUAUGACAGCAUUUUUUUUUAUAAUGUUAAUACUCUUUUGAACUUUCAAAAAAAAAAACUAUGUUAAUGGAUAACAUCAUUUUCUCUCCAAUUAUCAUGAGUAAACGGA